rnacentral:rRNA from 1 species
GAUCUUCGGAUCUAGUGGCGCACGGGUGCGUAACGCGUGGGAAUCUGCCCUUGGGUACGGAAUAACUCAGAGAAAUUUGUGCUAAUACCGUAUAAUGUCUUCGGACCAAAGAUUUAUCGCCCAAGGAUGAGCCCGCGUAGGAUUAGCUAGUUGGUGAGGUAAAAGCUCACCAAGGCGACGAUCCUUAGCUGGUCUGAGAGGAUGAUCAGCCACACUGGGACUGAGACACGGCCCAGACUCCUACGGGAGGCAGCAGUGGGGAAUAUUGGACAAUGGGCGAAAGCCUGAUCCAGCAAUGCCGCGUGAGUGAUGAAGGCCCUAGGGUUGUAAAGCUCUUUUACCCGGGAUGAUAAUGACAGUACCGGGAGAAUAAGCUCCGGCUAACUUCGUGCCAGCAGCCGCGGUAAUACGAGGGGAGCUAGCGUUGUUCGGAAUUACUGGGCGUAAAGCGCGCGUAGGCGGUUUUUUAAGUCAGAGGUGAAAGCCCGGGGCUCAACCCCGGAAUAGCCUUUGAAACUGGAAAACUAGAAUCUUGGAGAGGUCAGUGGAAUUCCGAGUGUAGAGGUGAAAUUCGUAGAUAUUCGGAAGAACACCAGUGGCGAAGGCGACUGACUGGACAAGUAUGACGC